GGAUUAGAUACCCUGGUAGUCCACGCCGUAAACGAUGGGUGCUAGGUGUCUCGGGUAUUGACCCCUGAGGUGCCGUAGCUAACGCGUUAAGCACCCCGCCUGGGAAGUACGGCCGCAAGGCUAAAACUCAAAGGAAUUGACGGGGGCCCGCACAAGCAGUGGAGCAUGUGGUUUAAUUCGACGCAACGCGCAGAACCUUACCCGGGCUAGAAAAGUACGGAACCCUUUAGAAAUAUCGGGGUGCUCGCAAGAGAGCCGUAAUCCAGGUGCUGCAUGGCUGUCGUCAGCUCGUGCUG
rnacentral:rRNA from 1 species